AUACGAAGGGGGCAAGCGUUGUUCGGAAUAACUGGGCGUAAAGCGCACGUAGGCGGAAUGUUAAGUUAGAGGUGAAAUCCCAGGGCUCAACCCUGGAACUGCCUUUAAUACUGGCAAUCUAGAGACCGAGAGAGGUGAGUGGAAUUCCGAGUGUAGAGGUGAAAUUCGUAGAUAUUCGGAGGAACACCAGUGGCGAAGGCGGCUCACUGGCUCGGUACUGACGCUGAGGUGCGAAAGCGUGGGGAGCAAACAGAAUUAGAAACCCCAGUAGUCC
rnacentral:rRNA from 1 species